rnacentral:tRNA from 1 species
GGAUGAUUGGAGCAGAGGUCAGCUCGCUGUCCUGUCACGACAGAGGUCACCGGUUCAAGCCCGGUAUCAUCCGCCA